AGGGAUCAGAUCGGAUCGGCAGUUGUUGGAUCCGAAUUUUUUGUUAGGGUUAGGGUUUGAUAACGCAGGGGGAGGAAGCCAUGGGAAGUGGAGGGAAGAGAGACGGAGGAUUCUCUGAUCUCCCUUCUUCCAGAUGAAAUGGGGGAGGAAGGGGAGCGGGAGGGGCACUUUGGUCAUUCAGCACUGGACGACCGGGACAAACGUGUGGUGAACGAUAGUUAAAAGUAUUCCUGGGUCUCACGUUGCUGGACUUCGACUAACCGUAACAAUAGCCGGGCUCGGGGAUGAGGCGUCUCCUCGAAACGUGCUGUGUCGGGGGUGCAAGCCUCGCUUCUUCUCCGCCUCAAAGAAGGAAAGGAAUGGUGGAGAACUGAGAAGUAAGCAGCUUGCAUAGUUCAACAGACAAUUGAGUCACAGCCAUUGUCUAUGCUACUACUGCUGUUCGAUUAUUCUACACCAUGUUUACUUGCAUUACAUGGCAAAAGCAGUGGCACAAGAAACAUGAGUGAUGAUAAUGGUCUGUUUUCAGCAUUUGGAGGCUGUGGAGAUUCUUCAUCAGGACCUUUGUGGUGUUCCAUAAGAAUGUGUCAUGGUACAUGAGCUGUCCAUAAAAAGUGGACCAAACCUUGGCAAAGAAGGAACCAAGGGAGGUUGCACUUGACUUCGGGCCUAAGGAUCUUAAUUGUCACACCUUGGAUGGAAGGUGACUAGGAAACAAUCGGCAGACCAGCCUAUCAAUGGAACAUUGUCAAGAACAAAGAAAUUAUAAAGUAGGUGAUUGGUAGGUCUUCCGACUGGAAUUUAUAAAUUGGAUCGGCUCCAGGAUUUGGACUGGUAGACAUGGUUGUCUGAGUUGGUAUCAUUGAACAGUACUCGGGAUAAAAUCUAGCAUGGCUCUAAACCAACCUAUUAUAGAUAAAUAAGCUGUCCACAUCAAAAAUCUCAGCCGAGAUUUAUCAUCAAAAGAAGAAAAAAAUGUCACCUGGAUCUUCCCAUAGUUAAUAUGGAAAUGAAAAGAACGGAAGGCCUUCUUAUAGAAUGACCGACGGGCCUCGACAUAGAAGUGAUGUAAUAUUGAUGCUAAGAUAUGGAUAAAUUAUUAAUUACCCGAUUCAGCAGUGUGUUUUCCUUCAUGCCUAAGGAUUAUCUGAGUGGUCUGGGAUAAGUUCAGCAAUGGGACCAAGUAAAUUCCUU